rnacentral:sRNA from 1 species
AAAAAAGAAAAAAAAAACUGAAACAAAGAAAUCAAAGAAGAAGAAAAAGAGAAAGAGACGGAGAGAUUUGAGAGACAAGUAGAAAGAAGUUCAAAAUUCAUUAUUCACUCCUUCAUAUUUCGACAUCUCUCCAUUGAACUCCAAAAUUGAGAAACAAAUUUCUUGUUUUCAGAGAUGAACAAAAUGCAAAAAAAAAGUUCAUAGAUUCAAACACUUUAGCUUUUUAAACUAAAUAUAUUCUAGGUUUACAAGAUUUAUUUAUAAAUAGUAAUUUUUGAGAAACUGAUAAAGAUGACCGCAAAAUUAGGUUUGCAGAAAAGGAUACACAUGUUGGAGAUGACUGGAAAAUUACAAUUAUACCCUUCAUCGAAUUUUUUCUGUGUACGUAUAUUCAAUUACAGUGUACGUACACGAAAUUAUUUAUUGGGACGUAUAUGAGACGAUUUCUAAUAACUCAAGCUAUUUUAUUACGUAUUCUUAUAUCUCAAUAAUCUCAAUACAUACAUAAUAAUUAAAUAAAAAUAGAUGGUGAAAUAAUGUUUGUUCCUCAUAUUGAACAGUUAUAUACGUAUAUGUGUAAUAAUGUACGUACAUUUUUGUUGGUAAAUGAAUGUAUGUACAUGUGUAAUAAUAUACGUACAUCUUUGUUUGUGAAUUGAAUUAUCAAGA